GACGAACGCUGGCGGCGUGCUUAACACAUGCAAGUCGAACGGAAAGGCCCCUUCGGGGGUGCUCGAGUGGCGAACGGGUGAGUAACACGUGGGUGAUCUGCCCUGCACUUCGGGAUAAGCUUGGGAAACUGGGUCUAAUACCGGAUAGGACCAUGGGAUGCAUGUCUUGUGGUGGAAAGCUUUUGCGGUGUGGGAUGGGCCCGCGGCCUAUCAGCUUGUUGGUGGGGUGAUGGCCUACCAAGGCGACGACGGGUAGCCGGCCUGAGAGGG
rnacentral:rRNA from 1 species